rnacentral:rRNA from 1 species
AGAGUUUGAUCCUGGCUCAGAACGAACGCUGGCGGCGUGGAUAAGACAUGCAAGUCGAACGGAUUUUUUCAGGUAGCAAUACUUGGGAGAGUCAGUGGCGCAAGGGUGCGUAACACGUGGGCAACCUGCCCUGGGGAACGGGAUAGCCCGCCGAAAGGCGGAUUAAUACCGUAUGUGGCUACCGAGUGCCUACUCGGGACGCUAAAGGUGGCGCAAGCUGCCGCUCUGGGAUGGGCCCGCGGCCUAUCAGCUAGUUGGUGGGGUAACGGCUCACCAAGGCGAUGACGGGUAGCUGGUCUGAGAGGACGACCAGCCACACUGGAACUGAGACACGGUCCAGACACCUACGGGUGGCAGCAGUCGAGAAUUUUUCUCAAUGGGGGCAACCCUGAAGGAGCGACGCCGCGUGGAGGAUGAAGGUUUUCGGAUUGUAAACUCCUGUCAUUGGUGAACAAGACUGCGGUUUAACUGACCGUUAGUUUGCUAGUAGCCGAAGAGGAAGGGACGGCUAACUCUGUGCCAGCAGCCGCGGUAAUACAGAGGUCCCGAGCGUUGUUCGGAUUCAUUGGGCGUAAAGGGUGCGUAGGCGGCUUGCUAAGUCUGAUGUGAAAUCCCCGGGCUCAACCUGGGAACUGUAUUGGAUACUGGCAGGCUAGAGUACUGGAGAGGAAACUGGAAUUUACGGUGUAGCAGUGAAAUGCGUAGAGAUCGUAAGGAAGACCAGUGGCGAAGGCGAGUUUCUGGACAGUAACUGACGCUGAGGCACGAAGGCCAGGGGAGCAAACGGGAUUAGAUACCCCGGUAGUCCUGGCAGUAAACGGUGCACGUUUGGUGUGGGAGGAAUCGACCCCUUCCGUGCCGGAGCUAACGCGUUAAACGUGCCGCCUGGGGAGUACGGUCGCAAGAUUAAAACUCAAAGAAAUUGACGGGGGCCCGCACAAGCGGUGGGAGUAUGUGGCUUAAUUCGAUGCAACGCGA